CUGAACGCUGGCGGCGUGCUUAACACAUGCAAGUCAAUGGGGGCCAGCAAGGACAACCGGCGAACGGGUGCGUAACACGUGAGCAACCUACCGAGUAGCUGGGGGAUAGCCGUCCCAACGGCCGGGUAAUACCGCAUUACGCUUCUUCGAGGGCAUCUCUGAGGAGAGGAAACCUCCGGGGGUACAUUCGAGGGGCUCGCGGCCUAUCAGCUAGUUGGCGAGGGUAAUGGCCUCACCAAGGCUACGACGGGUAGCUGGUCUGAGAGGAUGGCCAGCCACAUUGGGACUGAGAGAACGGCCCAGACUCCUACGGGAGGCAGCAGUGGGGAAUCUUGCGCAAUGGUCUAACGGACUGACGCAGCGACGCCGCGUGUAGGGAUGACGCCUCUUCGGAGUGUAAACCUCUGUUGCCCUGGAACGAACUAUCAGCUUUUGCCGAGUGCUGACGGUACCGGGUGAAUAAGCACCGGCUAACUCUGUGCAGCAGCCGCGGUAAUACAGGGAGGGUGCGAGCGUUGUCCGGAAUCACUGGGCGUAAAGGGCGCGUAGGCUGGUCCUGAUAAGGCGUGCGGUGAAAGCCCGGGGCUCAACCCCGGGUCGGCCGUGCCGACUGCUUGGACUCGAGGCCUGUAGGGGCAGGCGGAAUUCCGGGUGUAGCGGUGGAAUGCGUAGAGAUCCGGAAGAAGACCGGUGGCGAAGGCGGCCUGCUGGGCAGUGCCAGGCAUAGCUGACACUGAUGCGCGACAGCGUGGGGAGCAAACAGGAUUAGAUACCCUGGUAGUCCACGCCGUAAACGAUGGGUACUAGAUGCUUGGGGGAGCGACCCUCCUGAGUGUCGGCGCUAACGCAGGAAGUACCCCGCCUGGGGAGUACGGCCGCAAGGCUGAAACUCAAAGGAAUUGCGGGGGCCCGCACAAGCGGUGGAGCAUGUGGUUUAAUUCGACGCAACGCGCAGGAACCUUACCUAGGCUUGACAUGCACGGGAAACCCGUGAGAAACCAGGAGCCUCCUUCGGAGUCCAUGCACAGGUGCUGCAUGGCUGUCGUCAGCUCGUGUCGUGAGAUGUUGGGUUAAGUCCCGCAACGAGCGCAACCCCCUGUCCUUAGUUGCCAGCGCGUCAUGGCGGAGGACUCUCGGAAGGACUGCCGGUGCCAAACCGGAGGAAGGUGGGGACGACGUCAAGUCAUCAUGGUCCUUACGUCCAGGGCUGCACACGUGCUACAAUGGCCGGUACAGCGGGCUGCGACAGGGCAACCUGGAGCCAAUCCCCGAAAGCCGGCCUCAGUGCGGAUUGGAGGCUGCAACCCGCCUCCAUGAAGCUGGAAUCGCUAGUAAUCGCGGAUCAGCUACGCCGCGGUGAAUACGUUCCCGGGCCUUGUACACACCGCCCGUCACGCCAUGGAAGCUGUGAGCGCCCGAAGUCCGUGUCGCAACUUGGCAACAAGAGCAAGCGGCCGAAGGCGAGCGCAGUGACUGGGGCG
rnacentral:rRNA from 1 species